AAAAGCAGGGAUAUUCCCAGUCAGACAGUUAAUUGCUUCCUGAAAACCUUUUCUGUGCAAUUAUUUGAAGAUUUCACCACUGCUCCCUUUUAUUUCCAUUCCCUAGGCUUACAGCAGGUCCCAGUGCAAUGUACAGAUUAACAAACUGGAACAAGACACUUGCACUCUCACAUUUCUUCCUUCUGAAUGAUGCUGCAGUGCUGCCUUGUCUCUGAGACAGAAAAUUUGCAGCCUCCAGGAGUUAAAACAACUUUUUAGAAGGUUUUAGAAGCAAAAAUAAUACCAACUUCUUGCAGCUGUUAGUGCUAGCACCAAAAAUUGCAGUAUUUUAGAGUAAAGCCACUAGGCUCUUUAGUCAUUCUGUUUAGAGAAUUAAUCCCAAAAGGAUAUUUCUAUGGGUUUUAUUUCUUACAUCCAGCAGAAACUGUUUCAAAGAGGAGCUGAAAUGUCAAGACUUUUUACAAGAGUUUGUCCAGUGGAAAAUAACGGUGGAGUUUAAACAUUUGUCUGGUUCCUGAUGUGCCCCAGGUUGUGUGCAGUGAUGAAAGAUCAGCAGCACAUCUGUAAAUGAAUCAUCAUUUUCCCUGCACGCCCAUGGUUGCACAAUUUUAUCAACUGCUUGCUUUGAUGAAUAUUUGAUGUUUGUCAUGUGUAGCUAUCCCAUCCCAUUGUAAUAUCAGAAAUUCCAAGCACAAUUAACAGCUGAAUUUGAUGUCACAGUUAAGGAGGCACAGUCCUCCUGUGACCCAGGGUAGGGGCACACAGGGUGAGCCAGCAGUGGCAGCAGGACUGCAGUCACCACAUCUGGCUGCAGACCCUGCAGCUGGAUUGGGCACUCCCUCACCUGGCUGGGUGUGCAGAGCAGGUGGCAGGACCUCAGCUUGUGCCUGAGAAAAUGAUGAGAGGAAGGUUUGGCAGGAGGGACUGGGGCAGGGAGUGUUUGGAUCCAGGCAGAAUGAAAACGUGGAUGUUGGAUGUUCAGAUAACACCAGUCAUGGGAUUCCAGGAUGGUUUGGGCUGGAAGGGACCUUAAAGCUCAUCCCUGCCACGGGCAGGGACACCUUCCACUGGACCAGGUUGCUCCCCAGUAAUGAGAGAAGGGAUGGAAAAGAUUUUUUACAUGGAAAAUAAACCCACACCUCACUUCA